rnacentral:rRNA from 1 species
CAGGCUUAACACAUGCAAGUCGAGGGGCAUCAGGAAGAAAGCUUGCUUUCUUUGCUGGCGACCGGCGCACGGGUGAGUAACACGUAUCCAACCUGCCCUUUACUCGGGGAUAGCCUUUCGAAAGAAAGAUUAAUACCCGAUAGCAUAAUGAUUCCGCAUGGUUUCAUUAUUAAAGGAUUCCGGUGAAGGAUGGGGAUGCGUUCCAUUAGGUUGUUGGUGAGGUAACGGCCCACCAAGCCUUCGAUGGAUAGGGGUUCUGAGAGGAAGGUCCCCCACAUUGGAACUGAGACACGGUCCAAACUCCUACGGGAGGCAGCAGUGAGGAAUAUUGGUCAAUGGGCGCUAGCCUGAACCAGCCAAGUAGCGUGAAGGAUGAAGGCUCUAUGGGUCGUAAACUUCUUUUAUAUAAGAAUAAAGUGCAGUAUGUAUACUGUUUUGUAUGUAUUAUAUGAAUAAGGAUCGGCUAACUCCGUGCCAGCAGCCGCGGUAAUACGGAGGAUCCGAGCGUUAUCCGGAUUUAUUGGGUUUAAAGGGAGCGUAGGUGGACUGGUAAGUCAGUUGUGAAAGUUUGCGGCUCAACCGUAAAAUUGCAGUUGAUACUGUCAGUCUUGAGUACAGUAGAGGUGGGCGGAAUUCGUGGUGUAGCGGUGAAAUGCUUAGAUAUCACGAAGAACUCCGAUUGCGAAGGCAGCUCACUGGACUGCAACUGACACUGAUGCUCGAAAGUGUGGGUAUCAAACAGGAUUAGAUACCCUGGUAGUCCACACAGUAAACGAUGAAUACUCGCUGUUUGCGAUAUACAGUAAGCGGCCAAGCGAAAGCAUUAAGUAUUCCACCUGGGGAGUACGCCGGCAACGGUGAAACUCAAAGGAAUUGACGGGGGCCCGCACAAGCGGAGGAACAUGUGGUUUAAUUCGAUGAUACGCGAGGAACCUUACCCGGGCUUAAAUUGCAGUGGAAUGAUGUGGAAACAUGUCAGUGAGCAAUCACCGCUGUGAAGGUGCUGCAUGGUUGUCGUCAGCUCGUGCCGUGAGGUGUCGGCUUAAGUGCCAUAACGAGCGCAACCCUCAUCUUUAGUUACUAACAGGUUAUGCUGAGGACUCUAGAGAGACUGCCGUCGUAAGAUGUGAGGAAGGUGGGGAUGACGUCAAAUCAGCACGGCCCUUACGUCCGGGGCUACACACGUGUUACAAUGGGGGGGUACAGAAGGCAGCUAGCGGGUGACCGUAUGCUAAUCCCAAAAUCCUCUCUCAGUUCGGAUCGAAGUCUGCAACCCGACUUCGUGAAGCUGGAUUCGCUAGUAAUCGCGCAUCAGCCACGGCGCGGUGAAUACGUUCCCGGGCCUUGUACACACCGCCCGUCAAGCCAUGGGAGCCGGGGGUACCUGAAGUACGUAACCGCAAGGAUCGUCCUAGGGUAAAACUGGUGACUGGG